rnacentral:rRNA from 1 species
CUGAUUUACUUGAGUGCGAUAGAGGCAAGUGGAACUCCAUGUGUAGCGGUUAAAUGCGUAGAUAUGUGGAAGAACACCAGUGGCGAAAGCGGCUUGCUAGAUCGUAACUGACGUUGAGGCUCGAAAGUAUGGGUAGCAAACGGGAUUAGAUACCCCGGUAGUCCAUACCGUAAACGAUGGGUGCUAGUUGUUAAGAGGUUUCCGCCUCCUAGUGACGUAGCAAACGCAUUAAGCACCCCGCCUGAGGAGUACGGCCGCAAGGCUAAAACUUAAAGGAAUUGACGGGGACCCGCACAAGCGGUGGAGCAUGUGGUUUAAUUCGAAGAUACGCGAAAAACCUUACCAGGUCUUGACAUACCAAUGAUCGCUUUUGUAAUGAAAGCUUUUCUUCGGAACAUUGGAUACAGGUGGUGCAUGGUCGUCGUCAGCUCGUGUCGUGAGAUGUUGGGUUAAGUCCCGCAACGAGCGCAACCCUUGUUAUUAGUUGCCAGCAUUUAGUUGGGCACUCUAAUGAGACUGCCGGUGAUAAACCGGAGGAAGGUGGGGACGACGUCAGAUCAUCAUGCCCCUUAUGACCUGGGCAACA